AUGGUCCCAAAUGAGGCAAAAUGGCCCAAAAAUGAGCAAAAUAUUGAAAAUAAUAACAAAAAAUCCGAAUUUCCUCCCAAAUUCCAACAAAAUUCCCCAAAUUCCUACAACAUCUCCCCAAAAUUCCCCCCAAAUCCCCCCAAAAUUCCCCGAAUUCCCACAAAAUAUCCCCCCAAAAAUUCCCAAAACCAACCACAAAUCGACCCAAAAUUUCCCCCCACAAAAGCCCACCAAAGUUUCUCCAAAAAAACCCCCAAUUUCCCCAAAUUCCCACAAAUUCUCCCAAAAUUCCCCCAAAAUAAACCCAAAUUCACCCAAAAUAAACCCAAAUUCCCCCAAAAUUCAUCCAAAAUCCCCCCAAAAUCCCCCAAAUCCCCCCAAAUUCCCCUAAUUUUUCCCCCAAAUUUCUCCAAAAUUCCCCCAAAUAUCCCCAAAAUCCCCCAAAAUCCCCCAAAUCGCCUAAAAUUCCCAAAUGCCCCCAAAAUUCCCCCAAAUUCACCCAAAAUCCACCAAAAUUUCCCCCCAAUCCCCCCCAAAUCCCCCCAAAUCCCCUCAAAUCCCCCCAAAAUCCCCCCCAAAAUUCCCCCCAAUUCCCCCCAAAUCCCCCCAAAAUUCCAAAUCCCUCCAAAAUUCCCCCAAAUCCCCCGAAAUUCCCCCAAAUUUUCCCCAAAUCCCCUAAAAUUCCCAAAUCCCCCCAAAAUUUCCCAAAAUUCCUCCAAAUUCCCCCCAAAUUCCCCCAAUUUUCCCUCAAAAUUCAUCCAAAAUUUCCCCAAAUUCCCCCAAAAUAAACCGAAAUUCCCCCAAAAUUCCCCCAAAUCCCCUAAAAUUCCCAAAUCUCCCAAAAAUCCUCCCAAAAUUCCCCCCAAAUUCCCCAAAAAUCCCAAAUCCCCCAAAAAAUCCCCACAAAUUCCCCAAAAAUUCCCAAAUCCCCCCAAAAUUCCCCAAAUUCCUCCCAAAAUUCCCCAAAAUCCCCCCAAAAUUCCCUCAAAAUCCUCCCAAAUCCCCCCAAAAUCCCCCCAACCCCCCCCCAAAAUUUCUCCAAAUUUCCCCAAAAUCCUCCCAAUUUUUCCCAAAAUCCCCCCCAAAAUUCCCCAAAAUUCCCCAAAUUCCCCAAAUCCCCCCAAAAUUCCCGAUUUUUCCUCGCCUGAUCCCGAGAGUUUCUCCCCAAAUUCGGCCGCGGCCGCUCUGGAAUUUUGGGGGGGGGGGGCGGGGCCGCAUUUUUGGGGUGCGGUGACGUCAUCACCCCCAACGCUUCCCUCCCCACCCCCGUGA
rnacentral:lncRNA from 1 species